rnacentral:rRNA from 1 species
CAAUAGCGUAUAUUAAAGUUGUUGCAGUUAAAAAGCUCGUAGUUGGAUUUGUGGCGUACGGUGUGUUCCGGGCACUUGUUGUCUGAGUAACCUGCUGUUGCCAUCCUUGGGUGGAACCUGUGUGGCAUUAGGUUGUCGUGCAGGGGAUGCCCAUCAUUUACUGUGAAAAAAUUAGAGUGUUCGAAGCAGGCUUAUGCCGUUGAAUAUAUUAGCAUGGAAUAAUGAGAUAGGACUUUUUUGCUAUUUUGUUGGUUUGCGCAAGAAGGUAAUGAUUAAUAGGGACAGUUGGGGGUAUUCGUAUUCCAUUGUCAGAGGUGAAAUUCUUGGAUUUUUGGAAGACGAACUACUGCGAAAGCAUUUACCAAGGAUGUUUUCAUUAA